GAGUAAAAAAAAAAUGGAUAUUACUCUCCAAUGGUAGUUUCUUAUUUCCCAUCAAGCAACCUUUAUUUAAAUCCAUUUCAAUCGAGUAGUAUUUCAUCGAAAAUUUUCAUAUUUUAAAAUGUCAGUACUUGAAUUACAAGUAGCUGGUAAAAUUGCUGUUUAUAUGCUACGUUUUCACAUAUACUUACGAAAACCAACUCAGACACAUUGAGGCUGCAAUUUCGUUGCCGAGAAUCUGGGCGAAAAAUAUCCUGCAGCUGAUUUUUAAUUACGAAAACACAAAAAAGGAUGUUGUUGCGACUUCGUACAUUCCUAGACCCCAAUGAAGCCAUCGUGUCCUGGCGGCGUGUGUGUGUGAGCCAACAGAUUUCAAUUUUUGUGUGUUAAUUACAUUGCCGGCAUAAGUUCAGGCCCUUUCUGGGCUGUUUGGUGAGUGGGCGUGGCAAAGGGCGGAUGGAGUGCGAGGAUCGACGGGGGUAGAGGGAAUUGGCGCUUCGGAAGUAGGACCCGACCCACUUGACUCUGCUUGUGUUAAGCAUUUUGGCGCUUGUGAAUGUUUAAUUAUCAAAAAUUUGCACUUGA